GCCAGCGUAGCUCAAUUGGUAGAGCAACUGACUUGUAAUCAGUAGGUUGGGGGUUCAAGUCCUCUCGCUGGCUCCA
rnacentral:tRNA from 1 species